UUGUGGUGCUGAAUUCUCUUAACUUUUGCUUAUCUGUAAAGGUUUUAAUUUCUCCAUCGAAUCUGAAUGAGAUCCUUGCUGGGUAGAGUAAUCUUGGUUGUAGGUUUCUCUCCUUCAUCACUUUAAGUAUGUCCUGCCACUCCCUUCUGGCUUGCAGAGUUUCUGCUGAAAAAUCAGCUGUUAACCUUAUGGGGAUUCCCUUGUAUGUUAUUUGUUGCUUUACCCUUGCUGCCUUUAAUAUUUUUUUUGUAUUUAAUUUUUGAUAGUUUGAUUAAUAUGUGUCUUGGCGUAUUUCUUCUUGGAUUUAUCCUGUAUGGUACUCUCUAUGCUUCCUGGACUUGAUUGACUAUUUCCUUUCCCAUGUUAGGGAAGUUUUUGACUAUAAUGCCUUCAAAUAUUUUCUCAGACCCUUUCUUUUUCUCUUCUUCUUCUGAACCACUAUAGUUCGAAUGUUGGGGUGUUUAAUGUUGUCCCAGAGGUCUCUGAGACUGUCCUCAAUUCUUUUCAUUCCUUUUUCUUUAUUCUGCUCCCUGGCAGUUACUCCCACCAUUUUAUCUUCCAGGUCACUUAUCCAUUCUUCUGCCUCAGUUAUUCUGCUAUUGAUUCUUUCGGGAGUAUUUUUAAUUUCAGUAAUUGUGUUGUUCAUCACUGGUUGUUUGCUCUUUAGUUCUUCUAGAUCCUUGUUAAAUGUUUCUUGUAUUUUCUCCAUUCUUUUUCCUAGAUCUUGGAUCAUCUUUACUAUGAUUACUCUGAAUUCUUUUUCAGGUCUUCAUGAUGCUAAAUGAUGAAGCAUAUCCAGAAUUGGUUCUGGCACCAGAAGCUGAAGGAGAAAAAAGUAACUCUCUGCUGAAGAACGCAGCCUCCAAGGUCUUCCAGCUCCGGCUCCAGCCUUGGGGCCGAGGACAUGGGCUGUGCCCUCUCCUGAGUACUGUGUGACAUUUAAAGUGGCAGAGACCAUGAACUUCUACCCUGUAGCCUCAAGGUAGGACAUGGGCUGUGCCCUCUCCUGAGUACUGUGUGACAUUUAAAGUGGCAGAGACCGUGGACUUCUACCCUGCAGCCUCAAGGUAGGACAGUUUUGUAGUAUUCUUAAAGGUCCACAGCUCCCCAUGGAAUGGCUCGGGCCUCCUUUGCAGCUUCAUUGCACUUCAGAUUUCUCCUCUGCUUGUUCUCGCUUCCUUUGCGUCUCGAAGGUGUUGAUCCUAAGUGGUCUAGAGAUCUCCCCAAUAACUUCCUGCAUAUAAAUAUCGAUCUCAGAGUCUGUUUCUCAGGGAACUAGACCUAUAGGAACAUAACUCAUGGCCUACAGGGUCCUUCAUGAUCUGGUCCCUGCCAUCUUUCUCGUCUUAUUUCUCUCUAGUGCCCCCUCGCACUCUACUCUUCAGCAUCACUCAACCUGAGCAUCACUCAAACACCAAGUUCUGUCUUGCUCUGUGAAAAUUGGUGUGUGAUGGUUUCACAUAAUUCAUUCAACAAAUAUUCAUUAUGCUACUGUAUCAAUCAUGAUGCUAUCAGAAAAGAGAUGGCAUACUCAAAAGGAGGAACUGAAGGAAGUUUAAUGAAGGGACUAUUUAAAAGAUGUAAGCAGGGUUAUGGGAAAUCAGCAAAGCAUCCUAAGACUAAUAGCAGUGGGAAGCUCCUAGGCUUGAUGGGAUAAAGGGAAGAGUGGUUAGUGGAAGCUACACUGCCAGAGCUGUAGCUACAGGCAAGAGCCAUCUGACAGGAGCUGCGACCUUCAGGAAGCAGGCAGCCAUUGCCAAUCCAGCCCAGCUGGAAGUGAGCUCGGGUGAAAAAUACCCCAAUCUCUCUCUCCCGCCACCCUCCAAACUCCCACGGGUAUAGCUGAACCCAACUGGAAACCCCAGAAAAAAAGAUGUGGUCCACAGAGCUGGGUGGAGAGGUGGAAGAGUAGAUUUGGAGGGGCAAGGAGAAAUCAUUCAGCAUAAUCCCUGUUGUGUGCCAGACACUGAACAGCACAGAAUAGCAGUGCCCUUGUCUCGCUUACAGUCUCAAAGGGCAAAAUGGACUUCCAUCAAUGAAUCAUUAAAAAGUAAUGAAAAUACUGAUUAUUUUCAUGUUCACAUAAAACUCUUAUUAAAAAUUCACCAUGAGGCCCCGCCCCGCCUGCUGCUAAGUUCCGCGGAGCUGGCCAGGCCGUGCUCCUAGGUUCCCGUGCCGCGCGCUCCCUUCCGCGUUCCGCCGUCUGCCUCACCUGCGCCCCAGCCCGGCCGCUGGGGCCCCGCGCCAUGGCCCGAGCGUCCGGGGCGCGGCGCUGACGGCAGCUUGCAGAGGGCGCCAUGCCUAGCAGGACCGGCCGCAAGAUGGACAGGAGCGGCAGCCACGGACACCUGAAGGCGCACUACAGCGGGGACAUCCUGAUCACCAGCCUGGACUCCACCACCACCUUUGACAAGCUCUGUGAGGAGGUGCGGGAGAUGUGCCACCUCCACCAGGGCCACCCGCUCACCCUCAAGUGGGUGGACAGUGAAGGUGACCCCUGCACUGUGUCCUCCCAGAUGGAGGCCUUCCGCCUGUCCUGUCAGCGCAAAGACGAAGGGCUAUCCUUCACGUUUUCCCCGGCAUCCCCGAGGAGCCAGCAUGCCCUGUCCUGGAGAAGACAGUGAGUACCGCCUCUCCCACGACGUGUGUCACGGUGAUGGGUUGACACGUCUGCUCUGCGAGGCGGGGAACGAUGGAGCUUGGUGGCCCGAGGCUUAGGUGCUCCUCGCGAAGAGUCUGAAAGCAGAGUGGGCAGCGGGUGUGGCCUCGUGUGGGGUUUUCACUGGUGUCCUCGCCCUUGGCUAGGGGUGUGUCCACCAUCAGGGCACCGGCUUGGUCAGUGGUGCCGUGAGGUAAAGCCCAGGAGAAGCCCUGAUGCCCCCCGGCGGGAAGGGCCCUGGCUGGGAUGGCUGGACACUGCUCCCGUGUGUCUGUCCCAGCUGCGGCCACCCCCAGACCUGGUCAUCGGCCCCUCCCAGUCCCUACCGGGCCCCCCAGGGAGGCAUCCGUUCCUCCUCCACGGCAGGUCUGUUGGUUGAAUAUAGAGUCCCAGGGGCUGUGGGUCAGAGGAGAGCUUCUGACCAUGCCCCGGAGGCCCCGACCCUGAACAGCGUGCCCUGCCUCGUCUUCCAGGGCAGGGCCCCCACUGGGCAUAGAGAAACUUUACACCAAUCACCAGACCCUCCUCGGGCCCUGGCCUGGUGCUGAGGGGCUCUGGACCACGGUGGCCGCUUGUUCAGUUAGGGGGACUUGGCUCAGCCUCCUGCCAGCAGGGGUCCCAGGGUGGGCUCCGGAUCAGGUCCCUGGGCCCAGCCUCUGGGUGCCAGCAGCAUCCUGUGUGGGGUGGGCGCAGAUUUGAGCAGAGGCCGGACUCAGUCUGUGGUCCGUCAGACCCAGUGAAGCUGUUCAGUGGGCACUUGGGUGCGUGAGUCUUGCAUUUCGGGGAGCAAUCGGGGCUGAAGAGAGAUUUGGGAGCCCUUAGCAUAGAGGAGGUUGUUGAGGCCACGGAGGGUGUGGCCAGUGAUGAGGGCCAGGCCCUGGGGUCUCCCAAAGAGAACAGUGGACCCUGGAGGAGCAGUCAGCAAGGCCAUGGAGACAUCCCGAUGGUGGAGUCCUGGUGGGAGUGGAGCAGGCAGUCUGAAAAGGCCGGAGCAGCCCAGGGGCCGGCGGGAGGUGCUGCCCCAGCAGGUGGUUGUGGGGGCAGACGUGCGGGCAGGUCUGGGAAGGCUGGGGGGAGAGUGAGGAGUCCCAGUGCGUCCUGGCUGGGAGGCAGAUGUCCGCCGGUGGUAGAUAAAGCUAGAGGUGGGGGGUGAACCUGGAGCUUCUGAGGCCUGGAAGUCGCCCUGAGAAGGUGGGCGGGGGGGGGGGAGUCAGUCCCAUGGGUAAGACUUUCUGGCCGCCGCCCGCCCCGUCCAGGACAGCAGGCUCCUGUGUGCAUGUGUGGUUUCGCUGCGAGCGGCCCUUGGACCUGCCAGGACGUGGCUCAAGGCAGGACAUUGAGGGGGUGGAGAGUGCAGCCCGCUGGGAGCAGACCCCAUGAGCAGAAGCCCACCCGCAGGAGCCCCAGGUGGCCAGAAAGGAGCUCGUCGGUGGGGGGCUCGGAGGCGGGUGGGCCUCCCAGGGGGUCCUCAUCCCCCGCGGGGUGCCCCUCCUCAUGACCCCCCGCCCUGGGGUACCCACGUAUCACAGAAGGGGCGCACUUUUGAUAGUUCACGUUGUCUUUUCAGACACAUAAAAGGAUAAAAUAAGGUAGACCUUCCUGCUGGAAGGAGGGUCCCCUCCAUUGUGCUCUGUACGAGGGGUCCCCCAGCUCGUUUCUUUGCCCCCUUGAUGGCUCUCAACCACAGUGACAGGCUGUCUGUCUGCCCAGAGCCGUCGCCAGCAGCCCGUGCUGGCCCGCGGCACGGGGGUCGCCCAAGCAUCUCUGCAUCUCGGUCUCCGGUUGCCCGACCAUCAGCUCAGGCCAGGGCCCUGGCAGUGCCGCCCCGAGGGGCUCGGGCCUGUCCGUUCUGUCCCCGACUCGGUUCCCUCCUGGCUUCAUCCCCGCGUGGACACCUGUCUGGGGCCUCACGUAGGGGAUGGUGAUGGGGGUCGGCACAGCCGAUGCGGUGCCCUCCUGGGGUCGUGGGGGUCACGGGGUCUCUGCUGGAGGGUGAUGUGGGGUGACGCGUGGGCAGGGGCUGCAUCACCGCGGCGGAAUGCGGAGAAUGUGGGGCCAUCCCCACUCGCAAGCAGGUCCUUGAGAUGCUCACCAGGGGCGGCUCCGAGCUCCGGGCCACUCGCUUUUGUUGGAACAUUCCAGUAGCCUCUCGGCGGCCGGUGGGGUGUGGGGUGGAUGGAGGGUGGGGGUGGCGUCCUCUCCCGGGCUCUGCUCGUCCAGCUCUAUCGUGACAAUGACCUUGGGCAGUUAGGACGGCCCUGCGCUGGUCCCCCCAUGGUCCGGGUGCAGGCGUGAUCCUGGCACCUGCGUGGGCAUUGGUGUUCACUGCCAAGGCUGGGCGAGUGAGAAGGGUCAGGCUGGUGGGACAAAUGGCACCCUUGACCGGGGUCAGGACCGCAUGCAGAUGCCGGCGGGUCUGAUGGGUGGUAGCCAGACAGGGACACACAGCAGAGAUGCAGCCUCGAGGUCAUGCCUGGGCAUGUCCAGCCGGGCCUGUGUUCGUGGCAGCAAAGCCCCUUCCAGCACCUUCUGUGCAGGUUGUCAGCCUGAAUUUAAUCGGUUCUAUAGGGUUUUUAAAAAAUGGUGUAAAGUACACCUAACAUAAAAUGUGCUAUUUUGACCACUUAAAAAAAAUAAACUGAACAAUUCAGUGGCAUUUUGUAGGUUCACCACCUCUGCCGUUUCAGAAACACGUUCAGGAAGAAAACCUCGUGCCCACGAGCAGUCGCAGCUCCUCCGCUAAGCACCCGACAGCCACCAAACUGCACCAUCUCUACGGAGUUACCUGGUGUAGACAUUUCAUGUAAAUGGAAUAUAUGAUGUGUGGUCUUUUGUAACUGGCUUCUUAGCGUGAUGUUUUGAACUUCAUCCAUGUUGUAACGUGUAUCAGAACUUCAAUCCCUUUUUUUCCCCCAAUUUUUUUUAUCACGGUGAAAUACACAUAAAAUAAAUUUAUCAUCUUAACCAUUAAAAAAAUAAAAUUCACCAUGAGCUAGUCCAUAAAGCAAGUUCCCACAAAUUUUUAAGAACUGGCAUCAUACAGACCAUGCUGUCUGCCCACAAAAACAUAAAGGAAUUUAUCCUCACACUUAGAAAUUUUAAAACAUGCCUAUGUAAAACUCAGGGCAAAGAAGAAAUCACAAUGGCAAUGAGAAAACACUUAAAACUGAAUAAUAACAAAAAAUGUUACAUAUUAAAAGUUAUGGGAUGCAGCAGUAGUUGUAUUUAAAGGGAAAUUCUGAACGUAAAUGUUUACAUUAGAAAGAUUGAAAGAAAGAUUAGAAAGAUUGAAAGAUUGAAAGAUUAUAAAAUGUUUACAUUAGAAAGAUUGAAAAUCCAUAAGCUAAGCAUCCAACUCAAGAAAUGGGGGGGAGGGGCUUCCCUGGAGGCGCAGUGGUUAAGAAUCCGCCUGCCAGUGCAGGGGACACAGGUUCGAGCCCUGGUCCGGGAAGAUCCCACAUGCCGUGGAGCAACUAAGCCCGCAAGCCACAACUACUGAGCUUGAGCCCACGUGCCACAACUACUGAUGCCCGCACGCCUAGAGCCCGUGCUCCGCAACAAGAGAAGCCACCACAAUAAGAAUCCUGCACACCACGACGAAGAGUAGCCCCCACUCGCGGCAACUAGAGAAAGCCUACACACAGCAACAAAAACCCAAGGGAGCCAAAAAUAAAUAAAUUUAUUAAAAAAAAAAAAAA